rnacentral:tmRNA from 4 species
GGGGCUGAUUCUGGAUUCGACGGGAUUUGCGAAACCCAAGGUGCAUGCCGAGGGGCGGUUGGCCUCGUAAAAAGCCGCAAAAAAAUAGUCGCAAACGACGAAACCUACGCUUUAGCAGCUUAAUAACCUGCUUAGAGCCCUCUCUCCCUAGCCUCCGCUCUUAGGACGGGGAUCAAGAGAGGUCAAACCCAAAAGAGAUCGCGCGGAUGCCCUGCCUGGGGUUGAAGCGUUAAAACGAAUCAGGCUAGUCUGGUAGUGGCGCGUCCGUCCGCAGGUGCCAGGCGAAUGUAAAGACUGACUAAGCAUGUAGUACCGAGGAUGUAGGAAUUUCGGACGCGGGUUCAACUCCCGCCAGCUCCACCA